GAUGGCUCCUCCCGCUGCCGCUGCUGCUCCAGGAGACAGCUAAGGGGACCUACUUCUCUCGGGAAUCUCAAUACUUGGAACAAGAACCUUGUGGAUGGACCCUUUGGCAAAAUGAAUUGGACCAACCAUAGGUUCCAGGACUGGAGAGCCAGCAAUGCCUCCCUGGACAAUCCCACUCAAUUACUCUGCUCAGAGAACAUCACCACCCUGAAGCCAGAGACUAACCCUGAAGGACUCAGCAGGUGGGUGAGAGAAGGGCUGGACCCAUGAAGGAGGAAGGUGGGCUCCUGGGGAAGAGAUCUGUGGGGACUGGUGUGAAUGGGGCCACGACUAUGGAGGCUAGAGCUGAAGAGAGGG
rnacentral:lncRNA from 1 species